AACGAACGCUGGCGGCAUGCCUAACACAUGCAAGUCGAACGAGACCUUCGGGUCUAGUGGCGCACGGGUGCGUAACGCGUGGGAACCUGCCCUUAGGUUCGGAAUAACUCCCCGAAAGGGGUGCUAAUACCGGAUAAUGUCUUCCGACCAAAGAUUUAUCGCCUUUGGAUGGGCCCGCGUUGGAUUAGCUAGUUGGUAGGGUAAAAGCCUACCAAGGCGACGAUCCAUAUAUGGUCUGAGAGGGUGAUCAGCCACACUGGGACUGAGACACGGCCCAGACUCCUACGGGAGGCAGCAGUGGGGAAUAUUGGACGAUGGGCGAAAGCCUGAACCAGCAAUGCCGCGUGAGUGAUGAAGGCCUUAGAGUUGUAAAGCUCUUUUACCCGAGAUGAUAAUGACAGUACCGGGAGAAUAAGCUCCGGCUAACUCCGUG
rnacentral:rRNA from 1 species